UGCCUCAGUAACGGCGAGUGAAGCGGCAACAGCUCAAAUUUGAAAUCUGGUCUCCUACAGGGGCCCGAGUUGUAAUUUGUAGAGGAGAUCUUCGGGUUUGGCCCUGGCCUAAGUUCCUUGGAACAGGACGUCACAGAGGGUGAGAAUCCCGUAUGUGGCUGGAGGUCUAUACCCAUGUGAAGCUCCUUCGACGAGUCGAGUUGUUUGGGAAUGCAGCUCAAAAUGGGUGGUAAGUUUCAUCUAAAGCUAAAUACUGGCGGGAGACCGAUAGCGCACAAGUAGAGUGAUCGAAAGAUGAAAAGCACUUUGGAAAGAGAGUUAAAAAGUACGUGAAAUUGUUGAAAGGGAAGCGCUUGCGACCAGACUUGCCCUCAGCUGAUCAAUCGGUGUUCUUCACCGGUGCACUUGGCUGUUGUCAGGCCAGCAUCGGUCUAGGCGGCUGGAGAAAGGUCCCGUGGAAUGUGGCUCCCCUCGGGGAGUGUUAUAGCCCGGGGUGUCAUGCAGCCAGCCUGGACCGAGGACCGCGCCUUCGGGCUAGGAUGCUGGCGUAAUGGUUGUAAGCGACCCGUCUUGAAACACGGACCAAGGAGUCUAACAUCUAUGCGAGUGUUUGGGUGUAAAACCCAUGCGCGUAAUGAAAGUGAACGGAGGUGGGAACCCCUGAGGGUGCACCAUCGACCGAUCCUGAUGUCUUCGGAUGGAUUUGAGUAAGAGCAUAGCUGUUGGGACCCGAAAGAUGGUGAACUAUGCCUGAAUAGGGUGAAGCCAGAGGAAACUCUGGUGGAGGCUCGCAGCGGUUCUGACGUGCAAAUCGAUCGUCAAAUUUGGGUAUAGGGGCGAAAGACUAAUCGAACCAUCUAGUAGCUGGUUCCUGCCGAAUU
rnacentral:rRNA from 1 species